CCUACGGGUGUCAGCAGUGGGGGAUAUUGCACAAUGGGGGGAACCCUGAUGCAGCGACGCCGCGUGGGUGAAGAAGCGCCUCGGCGCGUAAAGCCCUGUCAGCAGGGAAGAAAAUGACGGUACCUGUAGAAGAAGCCCCGGGUAACUACGUGCCAGCAGCCGCGGGAAUCCGUCGGGGGCCAGCGGUAUCCGGAGUUACUGGGUGUAAAGGGGGCUCAGACGGUGAUGCAAGCCAGGAGUGAAAGCCCGGGGCCCAACCCCGGGACUGCUCUUGGAACUGAGUGGCUGGAGUGCAGGAGAGGCAGGCGGAAUUCCGGGUGUAGCGGUGAAAUGCGUAGAUAUCAGGAGGAACAACGGUGGCGAAGGCGGCCUGCUGGACUGCAACUGACGUUGAGGCCCGAAAGCGUGGGGAGCAAACAGGAUUAGAUACCCUGGUAGUC
rnacentral:rRNA from 1 species